rnacentral:rRNA from 1 species
UACGUAGGGUGCGAGCGUUGUCCGGAAUUAUUGGGCGUAAAGAGCUCGUAGGCGGUCUGUCGCGUCGGCUGUGAAAACCCGGAGCUCAACUCCGGGCCUGCAGUCGAUACGGGCAGACUGGAGUUCGGCAGGGGAGACUGGAAUUCCUGGUGUAGCGGUGAAAUGCGCAGAUAUCAGGAGGAACACCGAUGGCGAAGGCAGGUCUCUGGGCCAUAACUGACGCUGAGAAGCGAAAGCAUGGGGAGCGAACAGG